rnacentral:pre_miRNA from 1 species
AAUAAAUCAAUUUUUUACGUUUUACCUAUAAUUUUUAACUCUUCAUCUUAUUUAAAUUUUUUUACGAUUGAUAUUUUUAUUUUUAUUAUAUGAUAAAUCAUGAAUAAUACUUUAUGUGUGACUAAUUUUUAUCUAAUUUUCUAAAAAAAUUUUAAAUAAGACGAAUGAUCAAAUGUUAGAUACGGAAACCAGAGUUG